AUGCGCUGAGAGACCAAGUUCCUUGAAGUGAGGGGCUGCUUCCAGAGACUGGUGAGUGAGGAGUGCAGCUGUGGGAUUCCUGCUUGAGAGAAAUCAGAAGGGCUGGAUGGGAUCAAGCCACAGGCCCACCCAGGCCAGGCAUCUUCUCUCUCAUGAUCUGCAGCAGUACCAAAGAACAGAGCAAACAGAUCUGGAUGUGGCAGGUGGUUCAGGCAAUUCAUAGCACAAGCAAUUGCUGAGAGCAGCAGAACUGCAGUUGCACAUGAGCAGAAAUUAUCUGCCAGAAGAUCUCUCCCAAGGUUCAGCCUGAGUGAGAAGCAAGGGACCUGUGUAUAAACAUAAGAAUUUAUGGACAGAUAGAAAAUCCUCAUUAUUAUCAUUUCCACAAUUGAAUUCUAACCAAAGGCCUGCAAGCAUCUUUGUUUCAAAGCUUGCCUAGAUCCUUCCUACAUUCUUCAGAAGGUUUGAGCAAAGAACACAUCAAAACGUGUAGGCACAUCUCCCACCAACUAGAUACCAGCAGCCAGGUAUCUGAAAUAAUUUUCUUUCACUGUGCCUUCAGGUGUUCCCAUUGUACCCCCAAAGUACAGCAAAACACAGCAAAAGAGCUCUGGAGGUAAACAGCCAAAUCAGCACCCACCAUCCCGCUCACUGAAACACUCUGUGUUCACAAUAACGCCCCUGCUUUGAUCCCUUGCCAAGAAUAACACAGACAGUCUAUUAAAACAUCUUUAAUAACAUGAUAUAAUUAAAAUAUCUAACGUGCAACUCAAAGAAAUGAAUAUGAAGCUUGUUUAAGUCUGUUUCCACACCCCUCCAAACUUGACUGACGGGUUCCAAACCUUCGUUAAUUGGAUACCCCAGUAUUUGUGUGUGUGUGUGUGCUGUGUAUCAGUUGGGAGCAGAAGUGGCAAAUAAUCAGAUUUGAAAGGAUUUAGGUGCCAUGGUAGCUUUAAAAAUCCUGCAAGGUACAUGUGUGAGCAUUUACAUUUCUGUUUAAAGUGGCCUGAAAUGCAUUGGAGGACACUUGUCCCUGAAGCUUUUAUCAGCCUGUGUGUUUUAAGUCUCUGAAGCAAUUGAGAAGUGAACUCUAAAUG